rnacentral:rRNA from 1 species
AUACGGAGGGUUCAAGCGUUACUCGGAAUCACUGGGCGUAAAGCGCGCGCAGGCGGGCUGAUAAGUUGGAUGUGAAAGCCUACGGCUCAACCGUAGAACUGCAUCCAAAACUGUCAGUCUAGAGUCUGGGAGGGGAAGAUGGAAUUAGUUGUGUAGGGGUAAAAUCCGUAGAGAUAACUAGGAAUACCAAAAGCGAAGGCGAUCUUCUGGAACAGUACUGACGCUGAGGCGCGAAAGCGUGGGGAGCAAACAGGAUUAGAAACCCUAGUAGUCC